GGGGAUGUAGCUCAGUGGUAGAGCACAUGCUUAGCAUGCAUGAGGUCCUGGGUUCGAUCCCCAGCAUCUCCA